rnacentral:tRNA from 1 species
GUGGCUCAGUGGUAGAGUGCUUGUCUCAUAUGCAUGAGGCCCUGGGUUUAUUCCCCAGC